GUGAAUCAUCAAAUUUUUGAACGCACAUUGCACUCUCUUGUAUGAGUAUGAGUGUUUGAGGGUGAGACUCAGUAAAAUCAUCAUCGUCGCUGUUUCGCGGUUACUUCCGUCGGACAUUGGGUCAUCUUAAACCUUUUUGUUUUUUGCAGCUUAAAAUUUUCUUUAUGAUUCUACGAACGUUUCUAACAUUUACUUACACGUUUAAGGUAUCGAUUUUGAUUAGACGUGGCCGUUGC
rnacentral:misc_RNA from 1 species